rnacentral:rRNA from 1 species
AGAGUUUGAUCCUGGCUCAGGAUGAACGCUAGCUACAGGCUUAACACAUGCAAGUCGAGGGGAAACGAUAUUGGAAGCUUGCUUCCGAUAGGCGUCGACCGGCGCACGGGUGAGUAACGCGUAUCCAACCUGCCCAUCACUUGGGGAUAACCUUGCGAAAGUAAGACUAAUACCCAAUGACGUCUCUAGAAGACAUCUGAAGGAGAUUAAAGAUUUAUCGGUGAUGGAUGGGGAUGCGUCUGAUUAGCUUGUUGGCGGGGUAACGGCCCACCAAGGCAACGAUCAGUAGGGGUUCUGAGAGGAAGGUCCCCCACAUUGGAACUGAGACACGGUCCAAACUCCUACGGGAGGCAGCAGUGAGGAAUAUUGGUCAAUGGGCGAGAGCCUGAACCAGCCAAGUAGCGUGCAGGAAGACGGCCCUAUGGGUUGUAAACUGCUUUUAUAAGGGAAUAAAGUGAGUCUCGUGAGACUUUUUGCAUGUACCUUAUGAAUAAGGACCGGCUAAUUCCGUGCCAGCAGCCGCGGUAAUACGGAAGGUCCGGGCGUUAUCCGGAUUUAUUGGGUUUAAAGGGAGCGUAGGCCGGAGAUUAAGCGUGUUGUGAAAUGUAGACGCUCAACGUCUGCACUGCAGCGUGAACUGGUCUCCUUGAGUACGCACAAAGUGGGCGGAAUUCGUGGUGUAGCGGUGAAAUGCUUAGAUAUCACGAAGAACUCCGAUUGCGAAGGCAGCUCACUGGAGCGCAACUGACGCUGAAGCUCGAAAGUGCGGGUAUCGAACAGGAUUAGAUACCCUGGUAGUCCGCACGGUAAACGAUGGAUGCCCGCUGUUGGUCUGAACAGGUCAGCGGCCAAGCGAAAGCAUUAAGCAUCCCACCUGGGGAGUACGCCGGCAACGGUGAAACUCAAAGGAAUUGACGGGGCCCGCACAAGCGGAGGAACAUGUGGUUUAAUUCGAUGAUACGCGAGGAACCUUACCCGGGCUUGAAUUGCAGAGGAAGGAUUUGGAGACAAUGACGCCCUUCGGGGUCUCUGUGAAGGUGCUGCAUGGUUGUCGUCAGCUCGUGCCGUGAGGUGUCGGCUUAAGUGCCAUAACGAGCGCAACCCCUCUCCUUAGUUGCCAUCAGGUUAAGCUGGGCACUCUGGGGACACUGCCACCGUAAGGUGUGAGGAAGGUGGGGAUGACGUCAAAUCAGCACGGCCCUUACGUCCGGGGCUACACA